rnacentral:rRNA from 1 species
AUACGAAGGGGGCAAGCGUUGUUCGGAAUAACUGGGCGUAAAGCGCACGUAGGCGGAAUGUUAAGUUAGAGGUGAAAUCCCUGGGCUCAACCCUGGAACUGCCUUUAAUACUGGCAAUCUAGAGACCGAGAGAGGUGAGUGGAAUUCCGAGUGUAGAGGUGAAAUUCGUAGAUAGUCGGAGGAACACCAGUGGCGAAGGCGGCUCACUGGCUCGGUACUGACGCUGAGGUGCGAAAGCGUGGGGAGCAAACAGGAUUAGAAACCCUAGUAGUCC